UACGGGAGGGUGCAAGCGUUAUCCGGAUUCACUGGGUUUAAAGGGUGCGUAGGAGGGGCAGGGAAGUCCGUGGUGAAAUCCUAGAGCUUAACUCUAGAACUGCCGUGGAUACUCUCUGUCUUGAAUCCCGUGGAGAUGAGCGGAAUAUGUCAUGUAGCGGUGAAAUGCUUAGAUAUGACAUAGAACACCAAUUGCGAAGGCAGCUCGUUACACGAAGAUUGACUCUGAGGCACGAAAGUGUGGGGGAUCAAACAGG
rnacentral:rRNA from 1 species